rnacentral:lncRNA from 1 species
CUCAGAGCUUUCCCAAGGAGAAGACAAUGGAAAGAAACUGAAAGAUGUACUGUCCUUUAUGCAGAAUUCUCCUGCUUUAAGGCUAGUGGGAGCCUUGGUAACAACCUGGAAAAUGGUCUGGUGCUUUUCUGAUGCUGGUUUUGAUGUCUACGUUUGCUGUCAACUCUUCCAAGCGCCACGUGACAUGGCCACUUAUAUUUAGUGGUUUCUGGCAAGAAGCUCAGGAAUAAUUAAAUGAAAGCACAUCAACCCCAAAAUGCUAUUUUUGUACUCCCCCACUAUAAGAUUUUGGCUAUCUAUCAGCACUAUUUGUUUUUUGUCUUUUUCUUCUUCUCCUUCUUUUUAAAGACAUAUUCACCAUAUUUCUAAAAUAACAUAUUAGAGGAAAGC